ensembl:lncRNA
GAAUACAUUUCUGUUGUUUUAAGCCAACAAGUGUGUGGCAAUUUGUCACAGCAGCUCCCAGAAACUAAUCCACCUGGUAAAACUUAGAAUAAUAGAGAUCACCCUCAGGGUCAAGGAAAGAUUUAUAAACAGGGCUUCCUGAUAGUUCAGUUAGUAAAGAAUCUGCCUGCAAUGCAGGAGACCCUCAUUCAAUUCCUGGGUUGGGAAGAUCCUCUAGAGAAGUGAUAGACUACCCACUCCAGUACUCUUGGGCUUCCCUUGUGGCUCAGCUGGUUAAGAAUCUGCCUGCAAUACAGGAGACCCCGGUUCAAUUCCUGGGUUGGGAAGAUCCCCUGGAGAAGGGAAAGCCUACCCACUUCAAUAUUCUGGCCUGGAGAAUUCCAUGGACUGUAUAGUUCAUGGAGUUGCAAAGACUCGGACAUGACUGAGUGACUUUCACUUUCAAUAUACUAACAAGAAGAGAGCACCUUUCUAUGAAAAAUUCCACUAUGGGCCUUUGUUGGGGGCACAGAGGAGGAACUAAAAUAUGAACCAGCCAGAAAGAAGAGAUUUGGUUGACCAAGACAUGUCUUAGAGUUUGGUCAAGGGCUCUGCUCACAGGUUUCUACACUUGUACAAAUGCUGAAGAUGGAAAGGCCUUUCCUGAUUUGUUUGGAGAAUUGAAAUAGAAUUUUGCUUUCUUGCUGGAGGUCUCCAGAGGGGAUAGUCUCAUGAGAUGGAGCAAUUGAUCACAUUUGAUGGUUACCAGCUGGAUAAUGCACCUUCAAAUGGACUUUCCCCACUUCCUUGCCUCGUUUUACUAUUGCCUGCUUCCUUGAGGUUGAACCCUGAAUAAAGCAAUUCAUGUUACUC